AUUUUUUUCCAUAUUUCAAAUGUUUCCUUCUUGGUAUGCCAUUACUUUAUUUUGAAUUCAUGUAUGACUUGAUGUUGAAGUUUUGUUUUCUCCAUGCAAUAAUAUUUCUAGUGCAAUUGGAGAUCUAAAAUGCCUACUCUCCAUGUACGUGUCUUCUAUAUCUCAAUUUAGUUUCUAACAUUUAUAUAUAAAAUCAUUGUUUUCUCUAAUGUCAACAGAUGGGUGAUUUUGUUGUAAAUUAUGGAUUUUUUGGCGUUAUUUUUGUUGCAAACAUUUUAUGAGUGGGUUUGUGGGUGUUGCCCUCAGGAUUGGUCUUUCAACGACAUCUAUGGGGAUAUACCAUUUUCAAUUUCAAAGUUGAAAAAGUUGGAAUUCAUGAAACCGGCGUCGACUGAAAUCUCACUACUCGUCGGGCAAAUCAAAUCACUGCACUAAUUUCUCUUCCUCGAGAGGGCCAAAAGUCACCUCACCGCCAUUUCUCUCUCUUUCUUUCUCUUUCUCUUUAAAAUGUACUCAUUCUAGAGUGAGCGGCGGUGCAAGCUCUGCGUGUGAGUUUGAUUUCGACCUUCGUAGCGUCGCUCGCAAGCAUGAAUCUUUUUACUAGAUUUACAGGGAAAAUGGAAGUCGAUGGUGAAAUUUUUCCAAAGGUCCUUCCGGGUUUUUCGGUUGCCAGAGGUGUCACCUUAUUGAGGGUUGAUGAUGACGAUCUUAUUGAAGAAGAUGGCCCUUUAAAGGUGUAUAUAUAUGUAUAUAUGCUCACACACAUAACUAAUGGAUGAGAAUUUUAGGUGUGAUACAAAAAUGUUCUUUAUCAUUAGGGCUGCUUUCGCUGGGUUUGAUGCAGAAAUCGUCGCCAACUUCACAGAAAGACAAAUAGCAUCAGUGGCCACAGAUUACAACCUGGAUUUAAACAAGGUUCGAGGUGCCAUCAACAAUGCUAACAGAAUCCUCGAAGAUAAAUUUGACUUGGAUUUGAGUGUUCCGCACAUCUCCUAUGCUGUCGACGACAUGAUCAAGGAGCGGGUUAAGGAUUAUCGCUGUAAGUUGUUUCAGGGUCUCGCUGCACGCUUACCCACCAAUGCCCCACCACCUCCGCUUUCAUCUUUGUUAUUUUUUGUAUUUUUGUUUAUGAUGUUAAACUUAUAUGUAUUUAUGCGUGAAUGAAUGUGAUGUGGAUAAGAUUGUUUGUGUUUGGAUGAAUGUACUUUUAUGUUUGGAUGGAUUUACUAGC